UGAAUGAUGAAGGUCUUAGGAUUGUAAAAUUCUUUCACCGGGGAAGAUAAUGACGGUACCCGGAGAAGAAGCCCCGGCUAACUUCGUGCCAGCAGCCGCGGUAAUACGAAGGGGGCUAGCGUUGCUCGGAAUUACUGGGCGUAAAGGGCGCGUAGGCGGAUAUUUAAGUCAGGGGUGAAAGCCCGGGGCUCAACCUCGGAAUUGCCUUUGAUACUGGAUAUCUUGAGUUCGGGAGAGGUGAGUGGAAUGCCGAGUGUAGAGGUGAAAUUCGUAGAUAUUCGGCGGAACACCAGUGGCGAAGGCGACUCACUGGCCCGAUACUGACGCUGAGGCGCGAAAGCGUGGGGAGCAAACAGGAUUAGAUACCCUGGUAGUCCACGCCGUAAACGA
rnacentral:rRNA from 1 species